CCCCCGACAUAAAAAGCUGCCGGAUAGUACAAACCUAAUUUAAAAUCCAAAGACCUUGGCGGUGUCUUAUACUAUCAGGGGAACCUGUCCCUUAAUACGAUAAUCCACGAAUGCUUUCGCCUCCCUCGAAUUACAGCCUGUGUACUGCCGUCGAAAGUGUGCCUUUAAAAGUAAGCACACAAUAAUAAAUCUAUUAACGUCAGGUCAAAGUGCAGCCUAUGGGAAGCUGGAGAUGGGUUACAACCUUAAUAAUAGCCACCUACCUUUAUUUAAAAAUAAAGCCAAAGCUGGACUUGAAAGUAAUGAUAUCUACUAUCUUAUCAUGAAUAGGAAUCUAAGACAUGCACACAUCGCCCGUCACUCUCGCCGAAAGGUG
rnacentral:rRNA from 1 species